AUUGAACGCUGGCGGCAUGCCUUACACAUGCGAGUCGAACGGCAGCACGGAGCUUGCUCUGGUGGCGAGUGGCGAACGGGUGAGUAAUAUAUCGGAACGUACCCAAGAGUGGGGGAUAACGUAGCGAAGGUUACGCUAAUACCGCAUACGAUCUAAGGAUGAAAGCAGGGGACCGCAAGGCCUUGUGCUCCUGGAGCGGCCGAUAUCUGAUUAGCUAGUUGGUGAGGUAAAGGCUCACCAAGGCAUCGAGCAGUAGCUGGUCUGAGAGGACGACCAGCCACACUGGAACUGAGACACGGGCCAGACUCCUACGGGAGGCAGCAGUGGGGAAUUUUGGACAAUGGGGGCAACCCUGAUCCAGCAAUGCCGCGUGAGUGAAGAAGGCCUUCGGGUUGUAAAGCUCUUUUGUCAGGGAAGAAACGGUCGUGGCUAAUAUCCAUGGCUAAUGACGGUACCUGAAGAAUAAGCACCGGCUAACUACGUGCCAGCCGCCGCCGUAA
rnacentral:rRNA from 1 species